AACCUGACCAGCGACGCCGCGUGGGGGAUGACGGCCUUCGGGUUGUAAACCUCUUUCAGCACCGACGAAGCCUUUCGGGGUGACGGUAGGUGCAGAAGAAGCGCCGGCUAACUACGUGCCAGCAGCCGCGGUAAUACGUAGGGCGCAAGCGUUGUCCGGAAUUAUUGGGCGUAAAGAGCUCGUAGGCGGGA
rnacentral:rRNA from 1 species